GUUGUGUAGCGAUACGCUCGAGUUUGGCUAUGGCACUUUGUGAGCAUAUUCCUCCUUCCUGAUGCAACUGGGAACAUGGUGUCUUGGAUGGUUCUUCCUAUUUUGGGUCAGCAUUGGAACAACAUAGCCCUUUACAGUUGGGGCUCAACAGUUCUCGCCUGGCUGUACAGGCAGCUGUAUAAGGCUUGCAGGCGCACUGCAAAGGAGUCCAAUGUUGGAGGGUCCACCUAUAUGCUCCAGAUCUGGAUUUGGGAGCGAAUGCCCGUAGGUCGACCUUGCUAUCUCCGUGUUGAUCCAUGGCAUCGAAACGAUGCUCAUCCCACAUUCUAUCAUGUGUGGAAGCAUGUGUAGCCCGUUUGUAGCAAACCUGAUAGGCGCUACAGGGCAUACACAAACGAGUUGGAUGUUGUCACGCAACACUAGGUUGAAUGGAAACCGUACGACCGUGAGCAGCUAAGCUAGAUCGUAUUUUCACCGACGUGCUACAGAGACAGAGAGUUGUGAAGGUGCACGACUCCAAUGAUAUUGUACUACGUCGUAGAGUUACAAAUGCUGCAUAGGGUGAUGCGGCAGUUUGGGAGGAUGUAACCGUGCCCUCCUUUGGAAUUAUCGACUUCGGAGCAGCUGCACAGGAUCGACCGUAGAUAGAGGUAUAAGGAUAAUGAUUGGAGGGUGAAGCAUGCUCAGUACCUCAUCAUGUGGGAGAAUAGGCAAAGCUGCGAACCUGAAGAUGGACCGUACUGACGAGCAGGACCAAACAAUGAGUAAAUACGAUGGUACUGUAAUUCGACGAGAAAUAAAGUGAAACCAUCUUGGAGUAAUGUGCCCAUUGAGAAUGCACCGUCUGACUCGUUACCACAUAGCUGACGUGUACGACACGGUGACACGCUAUGGGACACAGCCUGAGCGUGCACCUCUCCACGACUACAUGAGACAGCAGCUUGCAAGGCUCUCAAACGAGGCGGGCAUGGUCAUGGAGCGUGCCGUCGGAUCCGGUGAUGUUCUGCUUUGUCAGUUCGCAGAUGUAGAAGCCCAACCUAAUUUCCACUUAUGCUCGUACUACCUUUGUAACCCAGUCAAUAUCAUAGUCGUGAAUAUAUGCUGUUUACAUGUUGCAGAGGAUUCGGAAAAGCUGCAGACGAAUGGCCAUGAGGAUGAACUGCAUGUCGUCCUCAGAUGUGCACCACGGGGGCAAUGGCCAGGGUACUUCUUCAGGAUCACGUCGGACUCCAUUGGCGACUCCCCCUAGGGCUGCAACACCGUCCACUGCUGCAGGUCCUAGCAGGAGAUCACGAGGCAAGGCAUCCCCUCAGGCAAGCGAGGACUCUGAAGGUGAGCAGUCCGAGGAUGACGACCCUACAUAUGGUGAGGAACUGGAGAUUUCCGGCAUGAUCGAUGUUCCACCUGUGACUUAGACGCGGUGAGAGUCCAGCUAGGAACCUACACCUCGUACCCGGAUGCCACGCCGGCGGCAUCGUUCACGGGACCACACCGACGUUGGCCGACGUUGGCUGCGCCAAUGUGCUGCCCACGCAUCCAAGGAGGAGCGUCGCCCAAGAGAUCCUUUUAGCCCUCCGGUUGAGCGGCGGCCACGACAAUGAACGUUGCAUGUCUCAAGUGUGAUGCACUAGGUGUACAAUUUAUGUUAUAUGUGCGUGCAAGACUAUUGGAACUGUCACGUGUGUAAAAGACUAAGUUGGAUGUUAGGUUUAUUUCUGUUCGUACAAUGGUAUAUGUUUGUUUCGUGACAUACUUGUGCUUCGUGUAUUUUUUCGUAAAUGUUCGUACUGGUAGGCUAUCGCGUACUAGAGGAGAGAGGGAAUAAUUUCAGGGUUGAAACUAGUU